rnacentral:rRNA from 1 species
GACGAACGCUGGCGGCGUGCUUAACACAUGCAAGUCGAGCGGUAAGGCCUCUUCGGGGGUACACUAGCGGCGAACGGGUGCGUAACACGGGGGUGACCUGCCCUCUGCUCUUGGAUAAGCCUGGGAAACUGGGUCUAAUACCGGAUAUGACCCUUCCUCGCAUGGGGUUUGGUGGAAAGUUUUUUCGGCUGGGGAUGGGCGCGUGGACUGUCAGCUUGUUGGUGGGGUGAUGGCCUACCAAGAGGACGACGGGUAGCCGGCCUGCGGGGGCGAGCGGCCAACUCGGACGGGAGGCACGAGUCAGGCACAUACGGGAGAGAGCGGUAGGGUAAAUUAGGCAAAGGGCGGAAGCCUGGAGCGGCGUCGGCGCGUGGAGCACGACGGCCGGGGGAGUAUAGACCUCGGUCAACCCCGACGAAUUUGGACGGUAGGGGUAGAAGAAGCACCGGCUAACUACGUG